UACGGAGGAUGCAAGCGUUAUCCGGAAUGAUUGGGCGUAAAGCGUCCGCAGGUGGCAAUGUAAGUCUGCUGUCAAAGCGUCUGGCUCAACCAGAUAAAGGCAGUGGAAACUACAUAGCUAGAGUAAGGUAGGGGUAGAGGGAAUUCCUGGUGUAGCGGUGAAAUGCGUAGAUAUCGGGAGGAACAUCUGUGGCGAAGGCGGCCACCUGGACCAGCACUGACACUGAGGCACGAAAGCGUGGGGAGCAAACAGG
rnacentral:rRNA from 1 species